GUAUCCUUUUUGCUCCUUAGAAUGUCUUCUCCACACAUCAAACAAAAACAGAAGUUUAAUGCUUGCACUUCUUUCUGUGUGGAUUGCAAGUUUGGCUCUUCUGUUACACGU